UGAACGCUGGCGGCGUGCCUAACACAUGCAAGUCGAACGGAACUAGACGCUCGGAGACUUCGGUCAAUGUUGUCUAGUUUAGUGGCGGACGGGUGAGUAACGCGUGGAUAACCUGCCUCAUACAGGGGGAUAACAGUUAGAAAUGACUGCUGAUACCGCAUAAGCGCACAGUUUCGCAUGGAACAGUGUGAAAAACUCCGGUGGUAUGAGAUGGAUCCGCGUCUGAUUAGCUAGUUGGCGGGGUAACAGCCCACCAAGGCGACGAUCAGUAGCCGGCCUGAGAGGGUGAACGGCCACAUUGGGACUGAGACACGGCCCAAACUCCUACGGGAGGCAGCAGUGGGGGAUAUUGCACAAUGGGGGAAACCCUGAUGCAGCCGACGCCGCGUGAGUGAAGAAGUAUUUCGGUAUGUAAAGCUCUAUCAGCAGGGAAGAUAAUGACGGUACCUGACUAAGAAGCACCGGCUAAAUACGUGCCAGCAGCCGC
rnacentral:rRNA from 1 species